rnacentral:rRNA from 1 species
GAUGAACGCUGGCGGCGUGCCUAAUACAUGCAAGUCGAGCGAACAGACGAGGAGCUUGCUCCUUUGACGUUAGCGGCGGACGGGUGAGUAACACGUGGAUAACCUACCUAUCAGACUGGGAUAACUUCGGGAAACCGGAGCUAAUACCGGAUAAUAUAUUGAACCGCAUGGUUCAAUCGUGAAAGACGGUUUUGCUGUCACUUAUAGAUGGUUCCGCGCCGCAUUAGCUAGUUGGUAAGGUAACGGCUUACCAAGGCGACGAUGCGUAGCCGACCUGAGAGGGGGAUCGGCCACACUGGAACUGAGACACGGUCCAGACGCCUACGGGAGGCAGCAGUAGCGAAUCUUCCGCAAUAGGCGAAAGCCUUACGGAGCAGCGCCGCGUGAGUGAUGGAGGUCUUCGGAUCGUAAUGCUCUGUUAUUAGGGAAGAACAAAUGUGUAAGGAGCUAUGCACGUCUUGACGGUACCGGAUCAGAAAGCCACGGCUAACUACGUG